GAUGAACGCUAGCGGCAGGCCUAACACAUGCAAGUCGAGGGAGAAGCCCUUUCGGGGGCAGAAACCGGCGCACGGGUGCGUAACGCGUAUGCAACCUACCUUUCACAGGGGGAUAGCCCGAAGAAAUUUGGAUUAAUACCCCAUAAUAUUAUUGGAUGGCAUCAUUUGAUAAUUAAAACUGCGGUGGUGAAAGAUGGGCAUGCGUCCUAUUAGCUAGUUGGAGUGGUAACGGCACCCCAAGGCUGCGAUAGGUAGGGGUCCUGAGAGGGAGAUCCCCCACACUGGUACUGAGACAGGGACCAGACUCCUACGGGAGGCAGCAGUGAGGAAUAUUGGUCAAUGGUCGGAAGACUGAACCAGCCAUGCCGCGUGCAGGAAGAAUGCCUUAUGGGUGGUAAACUGCUUUUAUAUGGGAAGAAUAAGGCGUACGUGUACGUUGAUGACGGUACCAUAUGAAUAAGCAUCGGCUAACUCCGUG
rnacentral:rRNA from 1 species